GGAAUAUUGCACAAUGGGGGAAACCCUGAUGCAGCAACGCCGCGUGAAGGAAGACGGUGUUCGGAUUGUAAACUUCUUUUCUUAGUGAAGAAGAAAGUGACGGUAGCUAAGGAAUAAGCAUCGGCUAACUACGUGCCAGCAGUCGCGGUAAUACGUAGGAUGCGAGCGUUAGCCGGAAUUAUUGGGUGUAAAUGGAGCGCAGGCGGGACGGCAAGUUGGAUGUGAAAUGCCGCAGCUUAACUGCGGAGCUGCAUCCAAAAAUGUAGUUCUUGAGUGGAGUAGAGGCAAGCGGAAUUCCGAGUGUAGCGGUGAAAUGCGUAGAUAUUCGGAGGAACACCAGUGGCGAAGGCGGCUUGCUGGGCUCUAACUGACGCUGAGGCUCGAAAGUGUGGGGAGCAAAA
rnacentral:rRNA from 1 species